rnacentral:rRNA from 1 species
UCUUUAGUAAUUGCGAAUGAACAAGGAUAUGCUUAGCUUGACAAAUGGAGCUAUUGGCUUUGAAUUGUAUUGUGGAAAUGUAUUACCAACAGAGGUGCAGGUGCCAGCCUAUUGAAAUAAAGCGUCAAUGAGGGUGAGAAUCCUGUUUGUCAUGUGCAGCCCUUUGUGCACGGUGUAUAUUUGCUGAGUCACACUCCUUGGCAUUGGAAUGCAAAGUGGGUGGUAAGUUUCAUGUAAAGGUAAACAUGCAAUUGAGACUGAUAGCACACAAGUACCAUGAGGGAAAUAUGAAAAGGACUUUGAAAAGAGAAUUAAAUGAGUUUGUAUUUGCUGAACACAAAGUAAACAGACUUGAUUUGCUUGGUGGGAGUGUUGCACUUGCUUGACAAGAGCUUUGGGCUGUGGGUGUAAUGAUUCUUUCUUUGCAUGCCAGUUUCUAUUUGUACAUCUGAUUACCUUUGCACAUGAAUGAUAAGUCUCCUGUGGGGGGUGGAUUGCAUGUGCAUGUAAUGAUUUGUGUUUUGAUAAAUGUGUCUGGUGUAUGUGUGUGUUCCUGUGCUUGGGGAUGCUUCCUUCCUUGGACUUACAAGCCCUGACACACACAUGCUGGCAAAAUGCUUCUGCUUGACCCGUCUUGAAACACGGACCAAGGAGUCUAACAGAUGUGCAAAGUUUGAAGGUGGUAUACCUUUGUGUGCAAUGAAAGUGUCAGCUGGGAUAUGUGCACCAGCACCCAAUUAAUUAGCGGACAGAGGUUUGAGUUGGAGCAUAUCUAUUAGGACCCGAAAGAUGGUGAACUAUGCCUGAACAGAAUGAAUUCAGAGGAAACUCUGAUGGAGGUUCGUAUCGAUACUGACGUGCAAAUCGUUCGUCAUAUUUGGGUAUAGGGGCGAAAGACUAAUCGAACCAUCUAGUAGCUGGUUCCCUCCGAAGUUUCCCUCAGGAUAGCUGGAGUUGCUCAGUUUUAUCAGGUAAAGCGAAUGAUUAAGGAAUUGGGGACAGGUUUGUCUUUGACCUAUUCUCAAACUUUAAAUGGGUAAUAUGUAGUGGUUGCUGAUGGAACUU